rnacentral:rRNA from 1 species
GACAGAGGGUGCAAACGUUGUUCGGAAUUACUGGGCGUAAAGCGCGUGUAGGCUGCUUGGAAAGUCGGAUGUGAAAGCCCUGGGCUCAACCUAGGAAGUGCAUUCGAAACUUCUGAGCUUGAGUAUCGGAGAGGAAGGCGGAAUUCUCGGUGUAGAGGUGAAAUUCGUAGAUAUCGAGAGGAACAUCGGUGGCGAAGGCGGCCUUCUGGACAGCGACUGACGCUGAGACGCGAAAGCGUGGGGAGCGAACAGG